GCACUGCUGAGGAGUUCCAACAUAGGACGAAAUGGCUGUCUAGUAC
rnacentral:hammerhead_ribozyme from 1 species